ACUCCUACGGGAGGCAGCAGUAGGGAAUUUUUCGCAAUGGAGGGAAACUCUGACGGAGCAAUACCGCGUGUGGGAAGAAGAUUUUCGGAUUGUAAACCACUGUUGUAAGGGGAAGAACGUUAUUAGUAGGAAAUGGCUAAUAAGUGACGGUACCUUACCAGAAAGGGACGGCUAAACUACGUGCCAGCAGCCCGCGGUAAUACGUAGGUCCCGAGCGUUAAUCCGGGAAUUAUUGGGCGUAAAGGGCACGUAGGCGGACAAAAUAAGUUUAGAUGUCAAAGUAUGAUGGCUCAACCAUCAAGAGGCGUUGAAAACUGUUUAUCUAGAAUCUCGGAGAGGUAAGUGGAAUUCCAUGUGUAGCGGUGGAAUGCGUAGAUAUAUGG
rnacentral:rRNA from 1 species